rnacentral:rRNA from 1 species
UACGUAGGUGACAAGCGUUGUCCGGAUUUACUGGGCGUAAAGAGCGCGCAGGCGGUCGAUCAAGUCGAGUGUGAAAGCCCCCGGCUCAACUGGGGAGGGUCAUUCGAAACUGAUCGACUUGAAGGCAGGAGAGGGUAGUGGAAUUCCCGGUGUAGUGGUGAAAUGCGUAGAUAUCGGGAGGAACACCAGUGGCGAAGGCGACUACCUGGCCUGUUCUUGACGCUGAGGCGCGAAAGCUAGGGGAGCAAACGGG